AUGACGGCGAAGAUCGUGGGCGAUUAUUUCGUGGAGGGGCUAUACGACAUCCACAUCAAGCUGCAGAGUGUGCCCUUCCUGCACUGGGAUGCCCCAGCCACCUCCCACUCCCUGACUGCCAGGGAGGUUAUGAGCUCUCCAGUAACCUGCUUCAACCUGGUGGAGAAAGUGGG